AUGUUUAUUUUCAUAAAGAAAACUGUUAAAAGGAUGACAACGACAAAAUUGCAUGUGGCAAUGACUUGUAUUUUUUUUUUUUUUUUAGUUCCCAAAUGGCCUUGUUUAGUAUGGAGAAUGUUGAAAACCACACAUCAACUAUUGGCAGAUAUGAUGGCAUCGUACCUGCUAGAUGACAAUGGAAGCACAUGUGGGAAGCAGAAUCACCAGGAAUGCACUCCUAGAAAGAAUCUAAAGGACGUGUUCGAAACCAAAAUGGGGGUUGGGGCAGAGCCUAGAAUGAGUCUUGAGCUCUCAACCCCUAGUCUGGGAAUUGGUCUUCACUGGUGCCUUCACUGUAGUUGGUUUCAGCUGUUAGUUCUCAACUAGGGGCAUAGCUCAUGCUUCUGAAAAACGGAAAGUCCCAGCUAGUGCUCUCCUCCGUAGCAAGGCUGUUUUGAUAGCUGUGAUAUCUUCAGAUGACCUCGGUGGGUUGGAGGUUACAGGAGAUAAUUCCUUUCUACUUGCACGGACACUGUCAGUCCUUAAUCCAGGUAUUUUCAGAUGUAUAGUCACUUUUCUCUGCAGACAGCCUUCUGUGAUCACCAGGGGAAAAUACAAAUCCAUUACUCUAAUUUGCAUAAUCUGCCCUUUGAUCUGCUGAAUUGUUUUCCCCUUAGAAAAAUGCUACUCUGCCUGAUUUUUUAUUCUUAACCUUUUCCACAGUGAAAAUGUUUUCCAGGCUUCAGAAAUUUCUUAAGUGGAUAUGACAUAAAUUUAAAAAGAGCUCCUUUAACAUCACCAGCUUAAGUGCCAGACUGGCCAUGUGGCUGGGCUUUUCCUGGGGCUUCCUGGCAGCUGUAACAGAAAAGGCUUGAUAGACCACUUAGUAAAUGAAGCUGGUAAAUCAAAUAUUCACUCUAAGAACUGUCCCGAAGUACUUAGUACCAAUUUUACUAGUAUUCUGCAAUGUACUCAGCACACAGAGAGAUGGGACAACUGAUUAGCUGGAACUGGGGGGCAGGGACCAUCCCUCCAUUUAAUUUCUUUUCUAGUCCUAGACCAGCACAACACAGAACCCACAAUACUCAAAUAGGCAGAUGAUAAUACAUUUUAAAAGUGGACCUUUCAAACCAACUUCACAAAAGUCACUUUUGAAGCCCUUAGCGACAUUUGAAAUGGGUAUUGGAUUAUUUCAAAGAAUUGUUAAUUAUGUUAGGUGUUAAUAGCAUCAUAAUUAUAUAAGAAAAUCCCCAUUUUUUAAAACAGCAAAGCAUACUGAAGAAGGUCAGGAUGAAAUGAUCUGGUAUCUAGAAUUUGCUUUACAAUAUUUCAGAAAUAAGGAAGGACAGGAGGAAGGAAAGAGGGAAGGAAGGAACGGAGAAAGAGGGAGGGAAGGAAGGAAGACAAGAAAACAAAUAAAUGAAUUAUGGCAAUUUCCUGAUAAUAUUUGGAAUCUGGGUGAUGGGUGCAUGGGGCCAUUGCAGACAUGCUUUUGUGGUGUUUGGUAAUUUUCAUAAUAAAACAAGCAGGCCUUCAAUACGCCUAAGCUACAACAAUAAAGCAAAACAUCUAUGUUUCAAGAAUGAGGCAAGCAGAGAACAACAAGGAGCAAGGACCUAGAAGUAUGUGAAACAUAAAAAGAUCAUUGUUACAACAACUAAGAAGAAAAUCUUCACCUGAAAGGGAUGUACUUUACGGAACAAAGGAAAAUCUUAUAAAGGGAUGGUUUUCUAUUCUUAAAGAGACAAAAAAAAGUAUGUCAUUUGUUAAACAGAAAUAUGAUGGUAGAAGGGGAGAAUAAAACAUUUAAUAAACCAAAGAGCAUCAUUGUUGGAAGAAAUUAAAAUCAAAAAAUGGCCCUUCAGCAAGUUAAGCAAAUGAUAUAAAAAAUAAAAUAGAGAAAACACUCAAAAAGUUGAAAUUUCUUAAGAAAUAAGAAGAACGUGAAUGAAGAUGACAUUUUUGCUUAUCAGAAUUGAUACUAGCCAGUGUUGGUCACCAAAGUACAAGAAAUAAACGCUUUAGUUUGGGGUCUAUAAAUUGGCAUAGUGUUUUUGAGGAUCCAUUUAGCAUUAUCUGCUAACAUUUUAAAGAUACACGCUCUUUGGCCUUGUAAUUCUACCUGUAGCAAAAUAUCCUAUAGAAAUGCUUGCACACAUGCAGAAUGAUACAUUCACAGAAAUAUACAACGCAGCUCUGCAAGUGUGAAAAACUAGUAAUCACUUAAAUGUCCAUCUGUUGGGAGGAGGUUGAAUAUUCUAUAAUAUGUGCAUUUGACAAUGACUACUACAUGUCAAGGAAAAUAAUCACAAAUAUGUCAGGCCUGACAGGAGAAGA
ensembl:lincRNA